rnacentral:rRNA from 1 species
ACUACUUGGAUACCGUAGUAAUUCUAGGGCUAAUACAUGAGAAAGUCCUCUGGUGAGGUGUGUUUAUUAAAAUGAAAACCAUAUGCUUCGGCAUGAUAGUGAGUAAUAUUAACCUAUCGUAUCGCAGGCUUAAUGUACCGAUGAUUCUUUCAAGUUUCUGCCCUAUCACCUUUCAAUGGUAGUAUAUGGGCCUACCAUGGCAGUAACGGGUAAC